UACGUAGGGGGCAAGCGUUGUCCGGAAUUAUUGGGCGUAAAGAGCUCGUAGGCGGUCUGUCACGUCGGCUGUGAAAUCCCGAGGCUCAACCUCGGGUCUGCAGUCGAUACGGGCAAACUAGAGUAUUGCAGGGGAGACUGGAAUUCCUGGUGUAGCGGUGAAAUGCGCAGAUAUCAGGAGGAACACCGAUGGCGAAGGCAGGUCUCUGGGCAUUAACUGACGCUGAGGAGCGAAAGCAUGGGGAGCGAACAGG
rnacentral:rRNA from 1 species